GGGUCAGUAGGUUGGUCGUGCCACCGGUACGUACUGGUCUCACUGAUUUCUCCUUCCUGAAGAACCGUAAUGCCAUUAAUUUGGUGUUGCGGGGAAACAGGACUGUUACUUUGAAAAAAUUAGAGUGUUUAAAGCGAGCCAACGCUUGAAUACAUUAGCAUGGAAUAAUGAAAUAGGACGAUCGAUCCUAUUUUGUUGGUUUCUAGGAUUGACGUA
rnacentral:rRNA from 1 species